rnacentral:rRNA from 1 species
CGCGUGAGCAACCUGCCCUUCGGAACGGGAUAGUGUCUGGAAACGGACAGUAAUACCGUAUAACGUAUUUUUACCGCAUGAUAGAAAUACCAAAACUGAGGUGCCGAAGGAUGGGCUCGCGUCUGAUUAGAUAGUUGGUGGGGUAACGGCCUACCAAGUCGACGAUCAGUAGCCGGACUGAGAGGUUGAACGGCCACAUUGGGACUGAGACACGGCCCAGACUCCUACGGGAGGCAGCAGUGGGGAAUAUUGCACAAUGGGGGAAACCCUGAUGCAGCAACGCCGCGUGAAGGAAGACGGUUUUCGGAUUGUAAACUUCUGUUCUUAGUGAAGAAUAAUGACGGUAGCUAAGGAGCAAGCCACGGCUAACUACGUGCCAGCAGCCGCGGUAAUACGUAGGUGGCAAGCGUUGUCCGGAAUUACUGGGUGUAAAGGGAGCGUAGGCGGGAUGCCAAGUCAGCUGUGAAAACUAUGGGCUUAACCUGUA